UACGUAGGGUGCGAGCGUUGUCCGGAUUUAUUGGGCGUAAAGAGCUCGUAGGCGGCUUGUCGCGUCGAAUGUGAAAACUCGGGGCUCAACUCCGAGCUUGCAUUCGAUACGGGCAGGCUAGAGUUCGGUAGGGGAGACUGGAAUUCCUGGUGUAGCGGUGAAAUGCGCAGAUAUCAGGAGGAACACCGGUGGCGAAGGCGGGUCUCUGGGCCGAUACUGACGCUGAGGAGCGAAAGCGUGGGGAGCGAACAGG
rnacentral:rRNA from 1 species